GCAUUUUGUUGAGGAUUUUGUGUCAAUAUUCAUCAGGGAUAUUAGUCUAUAGUUUUCCUGAAGUGUUUUUGUCUGGGUUUGGUAUAAGAUUAAUGCUGGCCUUAUAGAAUGAGUUUGGAACUCUUUAAUUUUCUGGAAGAGUCUGAGGAUAAUUAGUGUUAAUUCUUCUUUAAACGUUUAGCAGAAUCCACCAGUGACACCCAUUUGGUCCUGGACUUUCCUUUGUUUGAUAGUUGAUUAAUAAUUCAAUCUCAUUACUAGUUAUAGAUCUGAUUCAUAUUUCUAUGUCUUCCUGAUUCAGUCUUGGUAAGUGUGAUAUAUAUUCUUAAUUCAAGAUCUCCCUUGCAAAACUUGCAUUUGAUUACCAAGAGAUUUGAUGUGCUAAUUAUGGAAGUUUUGAGCAUCACUUUGUGACGUACAGAUAGGAGCAAAUUAAAUUCUUUUAGGGUUUUUGUGUUAUUUAAAUUUGCCUAAAAUUUCUAGAGCUACUUAUUGAUUAAACUACUUCAGGAUGGUUGGAUUUAACUCUUAUUCCACCAUUUCCCUAUUUACAACCAAUUUGUUAAAAUUUUAAAAAUUAUACCUCAGAAAUAUCUUUCAAGUAUUUAUUCCCUUUCCUAGCCCACUGUCACUUCCUCAUAUCAGGUCCUUAGUAUAUCUUGCACAGACUACCUCAAUAGCCUCAUAACUUGUCUUCCUGCUUCUUCCUGUCCAGCUUUGUCCUCCACACCUUGAUACAUUUCUGAAACUUACAUUAUAUGAUUAUACCAUUUUUCCUGCCUAGGAAUAAUCCAUGUAUUUUAUCUUCCUAUUCCACAAAUUUCAAAAUCCUCAGAAUAGAAGAAUCUCUCCAAGUGUCUGUAACUUGCCCCACUCUAGCCUCAUCUGCCUCCCCUUCUUCCUUGCCACCUACCCCCAUUCCAAAUUUGUGCCAUAUCAAUGUAUUCUGCAUUCUGUAGAACACCCAAGUUUUUCAUUUUUCUGUGCUUUUGCAAUGUGCUGUUUCUGGGUGGUAAAAUUUCACUCAAACCUUUAGAGAUAAGGCAAAAGUCAUUUCUUUCCUGAGACUUCUCAGACACCAAAUGUUAUGUUAUGUCCUUCAAGGUCAUGCCCCAAGGCACAUGGAACUUAGUAGAAUGCAAGUACUUAUAUCAAUAUGUCUUAUAAUUAUUACCCUAAUGUUCACCCCACAAAACUCUGAUCCUUUAAGGGUAGGAUAUGUCCACAACUUAUCUUUGUGUAGAGUGUGAAACACAGUGUCCCGUAUAUUCACAGUGUCCAAAUACAGCUAGCACAGAAUAGCUAGCUACUUAAUGAAUGCUUAUUUAAUGCGUGUUUAUUCUGGGGGAUGAAUAACAUUGAAAAAGACCUGAACUUCAUUGCUCCUUCUCCACUGACUACUUAUGUGACCUUGGGUGAGUCAUUUAUCUUCUCAAGGUCUGUUUCUUAAUUUGUGAGUGAAAGAUGAUGACAGAUAAUCUCCAACAUCCCUUACAGCUCUGACAUCUUAUUAUUGCCAUUUUCAUUUGUGCAAAAGACAACCUUAAUUAUUAAAAUAACUUCAUUGUGCAUGACACUCAAGGAAAACAAAACCAUAACCAAAUUUCUUUACCUUAUUUGACUUUACAUUUCAUGUUCAUUCUUGAGUG
rnacentral:lncRNA from 10 species